UAGGGAAUCUUCCGCAAUGGGCGAAAGCCUGACGGAGCAACGCCGCGUGAGUGAAGAAGGAUUUCGGUUCGUAAAGCUCUGUUGUUAGGGAAGAAUGAUUGUGUAGUAACUAUACACAGUAGAGACGGUACCUAACCAGAAAGCCACGGCUAACUACGUGCCAGCAGCCGCGGUAAUACGUAGGUGGCAAGCGUUGUCCGGAAUUAUUGGGCGUAAAGCGCGCGCAGGUGGUUUAAUAAGUCUGAUGUGAAAGCCCACGGCUCAACCGUGGAGGGUCAUUGGAAACCGUUAAACUUGAGUGCAGGAGAGAAAAGUGGAAUUCCUAGUGUAGCGGUGAAAUGCGUAGAGAUUAGGAGGAACACCAGUGGCGAAGGCGGCUUUUUGGCCUGUAACUGACACUGAGGCGCGAAAGCGUGGGGAGCAAACAGGAUUAGAUACCCUGGUAGUCCACGCCGUAAACGAUGAGUGCUAAGUGUUGGUCUCAUAAGAGAUCAGUGCUGCAGCUAACGCAUUAAGCACUCCGCCUGGGGAGUACGACCGCAAGGUUG
rnacentral:rRNA from 1 species